UCGGUACGACAACCACAGUGUCCCGUCUCUCUCGCCCCGACCUGUCCAUCUCCCGCGAUCUGGAGGGGCCGGCGGCGCGGCGGCGCGGCGGCAGGGGCGGAUGGACAGCGGCAGCGCAACCAGCCGAGCAGAUCAAGGACACGUGAUUCUCCCUCACUCCCCCCUCCCCAACCGGCGGCAGAGAGACCAGCCGAGCGGCGCGGGGUAGACCCGGAGACCCCACCUCCGUCCGAGCUCGGCGUCGCCCGUGAGAGGUCAUCUCUCGCGCCCUCUCCAUCUCCGGAUGCUUCGCACUGGAGAAAGGCAUGACAUGAUGAUGAAGCUAUUUUAGAUCUUGUCGUCUGUCACAAUUUUCUUUCGAUGUCCAGCUUAUAUGAUCGAUGGGGAGAUCAAGGAUGAACCAACUAGAUGUCCAGCUUAUCUUAUGUUUGAUCAGAUGCCUAGCAAGUUAUUUUGGCCAGGCGUUUUGCUAUUUAGUCAAGAAUAUAUGUGGUGUAAUAUUGGCAAAAAAACUGCUAAACUUGUCUUUGGUUCAGCCAUGUAGUGCAAGCUGGCUUGGUUUA